GGGUGAGUAACGCGUAAGUAAUCUACCCUGAUAUCUGGGAUAACAAUUCGAAAGGAUUGCUAAUACCGGAUACGCUGAUUUAUCAGGAAAGGUGGCCUCUUCAUGAAAGCUACUGUAUCAGGAGGAGCUUGCGUACCAUUAGCUAGUUGGUGGGGUAAUGGCCUACCAAGGCGACGAUGGUUAGCGGGUCUGAGAGGAUGAUCCGCCACACUGGAACUGAAACACGGACCAGACUCCUACGGGAGGCAGCAGUGAGGAAUAUUGCGCAAUGGGGGAAACCCUGACGCAGCGACGCCGCGUGGAUGAUGAAGGCUUUCGGGUCGUAAAAUCCUGUCAGAUGGGAAGAAAUGCUAUGAGGCUAAUACCCUUGUAGUUUGACGGUACCAUCAAAGGAAGCACCGGCUAACUCCGUGCCAGCAGCCGCGGUAAUACGGAGGGUGCAAGCGUUGUUCGGAAUUACUGGGCGUAAAGCGCGCGUAGGCGGCCUUUUAAGUCAGAUGUGAAAGUCCACGGCUCAACCGUGGAAGUGCAUUUGAUACUGGGAGGCUUGAGUACUGGAGGGGAUGGUGGAAUUCCCGGUGUAGAGGUGAAAUUCGUAGAUAUCGGGAGGAAUACCGGUGGCGAAGGCGACCAUCUGGCCAGAUACUGACGCUGAGGUGCGAAAGCGU
rnacentral:rRNA from 1 species